rnacentral:tRNA from 1 species
UGUCUUAGUCAGUAAAGAAUCUGCUUGCAAUGCAGAAGACCCGGGUUUGAUCCCUGG